UACGGAGGGUGCAAGCGUUGUCCGGAAUCAUUGGGCUUAAAGGGUACGCAGGCGGAUUUAUAAGUCAGUGGUGAAAGCCCGUCGCUCAACGACGGAACUGCCAUUGAUACUGUAAGUCUUGAAUUCGAUCGAAGUGAGCGGAAUAUGACAUGUAGCGGUGAAAUGCUUAGAUAUGUCAUAGAACACCGAUAGCGAAGGCAGCUCACUAGGUCUGGAUUGACGCUCAGGGACGAAAGCGUGGGGAGCAAACAGG
rnacentral:rRNA from 1 species